AACAUAGAUUCUUGUCUCAAAGGAGCACACAAUCCCAUCACCAAUGGAAAGAGCAUUUGAAUUCAGGAAGGCGGGGAAAAUGCUUGAAUGUUUUCAGAGAAGGGUGACCAAAAUAGGAAAAGAUCUGGAAGCCAAGCUCUAUGAGGUGCAGCUUAAAGAGUUGGGUAUGUUUAGCCUGGAGAAAUUUAAGAGAUGACUUGAUAACCAUUGUUGGAAUAUUUGAAAAGUUGUAAUAUUGAAAAGGGAGCAGGCUUGUUUUCUGCUGCUCCAUAGAGCAAUGAUUUCAAACUACAGGAAAAAAAUCCCUGACAGUAAGAGCUGUUCAACUGUGUAAUACGUUGCCUAAGAGUUUGGCGGAGUUGCUUUCUCUGGAGUGCUGCUAGCCAUCUGUCAGGAGUGUUAUGAUUGUAUAUCCUGCCUGGCAGGGGGUUGGACUGGAUGGCCCAUGUGGUCUUUUCCAAUUUUGUGAUUAUUCUGCCUGAAAAUGUCAAUGCAGAAACACAUGAUUUGCUUAUUUAAUCCAGAAAAUUACUUAUUCGUGAUCAGAACAUUUAUUUAAAGAAACAGAUGUUCCAAUUUUAUGGGGUUUUUUUUCUAAAGAAAGCUAUUUAUUUUAGAGAUGGAGAGAGUGUGAAUUGAAUUAGCUAGAUCGUUCAGCUCCAAGUUGUAAUUUUUUAAUCAGACCCCUCAAAAUGCUCGAUCCUCCAAAGAAGGGGAAGGCUGAAAAGCCAAAUGGGAAAAAGGAGGAAGAAAAGCCAAGAGAAGCCAGUUUUGAGGAGGUUGAAAUGACUAUUUUGGAGCCACAUGUUUUAUUAACCUAAAUGCAAAUGCUCCCCAUAACUAUUCAGAUGUAGGUGGGAUGUGAAGAAAAUGUUCUGCAUCACUGUGUGAGCUAUUGUCACGCCCGAGGCAACGGAGCACCAAGAACCAACGCAGAGGCCAAUAUCUAUCUAAUAUCUUUAUUAAGUAAAUAUAUAAAAGUAAUAAAAACAAGUGAAGAAUAUAGUUCAGAAGCUGACCUAUCAAAUGAGGUCAAAUAAAGUCCAAAAAUGUAUUGUCCAAUAAAUGAUAUUAGAGUUCAAAGUUUUAAAUCCAGUAACCGAAACACACACUAUUGCCAAGCAAUAGUGUGGGGAAAAUGCCCAGAGUCUUUGAAGUCCAAGGUAGCUUGAGAACAAGGCUGGAAACAAACUUGAAUCAUUAAACAAGGUCCGUGACUAGGAACAAGGCGAAACAGAGAUUCUAAGAACAAGGUCCAUGGCUAAAAACAAGGCUAGACAAAUCUUGAAUACUUGAUCCGGAAAGCAAGGAACUGGGGUUGCGGACUUUGCGAAGUCCACACAAGGCUGGAAACACGAAGUUGCUUCUGGAGCUGCUCUGUUGACUCCGCAACAAUUCUAACGUGCCAGGCACCUAUAUUGGGGUCUCGUUUUCCCGCCAACGACCUCUUUCCCUAGAGAACGGGAAACGAAACCCAACUUUGUCCAGAUGUGAAACUCCUUAGAAUUUCCCAAGGGAAGCAUGGCUAAUCAGCCUGUUGUUUAGCUGCAAUCCAUAAGCUCCUGCGAGUCUGUUCUCUCACUCCCCUGUCUGCAGAAUAGGACUGUCUCCUAGGGAACGGGGGUGAGGAAUGCCCAAGGUCUGUUUUACUGGGUUCUUGGGCGAAAACAUCCGGCAGCUGGAAAGAUUCCGGCUCUUGUUGAACCGGUGAAAACCCCAUGUUUUCGUCUUCAUCUGUCACGAUGGCACUAGGAGCAGGACUACAAGGCCCAUGAGGCAUCACAGCUAUAAGAAAUAUACAGUAGAAUAGCAAAGAAACUGCAUAGAUAUAGCAGAAAGUCUGGAUUUUUGGAACCUCAAUUGUAAGCUCAUACAGUAAGAUAACCUCAAUUGUAAGCUCACAAACGAAAAUCAGAGUUGAAUUACCCAUAAAACCAAAAUUUUACUGCAAACAAAAUGAAAAAUGGAGGUUAAAUACCAUGGGCUAAGUUAUCCCAGUGAAGUGAAGUUGAGCUAUUAGAUACAGACUAGAAACCUAUAGUUUGCAAAUAAAUUGUUAAUUAAAUAUUAAAUAUUUCAGAAUCCCAUUUGUGAGCUGGUUUAUUAAUUUUAAGAUGGGCUUUUCCUUUGACAUAACUGGUUAAAUUGGAAAGUUUAAGAUGCACAAAUAAAUAGAAUUAGAGAAAAUGAUCAUGUGGCUGUGUUGCUAGGCAGCAGAACGCAACAGAGGAAUAGCUAGGAAUAAAUUGAACAGCUAGGAUUGGGGAGCAAUGGAAAAACAACGACCCCUCUUGGCUUCUCUCUCCCUUACUCUAUUCUGAUUUUUACAUGCCAUAGUCCAGUGUAUCACAUACUGUGAAGGAUUUGAUCAGGCUGGAGCUAUUAGAUUGGUGCCAAAAGAUUCAUUUAUCUUAUCUGUACUGUUGAUAGUUUGUCCCAGACAAUAUCAAGAUCGACCAAAAUCAAAUCAACUAAUCACAGGUUUCCUGUUACCUUCAUUGAAUAAUGUUGUUUUCUUUCAUUUAAGUAUUCACCAACCAAAAACUAUGCAACAGUGAGAUCCCAUUGCUGAGGUCCUUGAAAACAAGAUAAUCGGGGCAGAGAAACACAGCUUUUCAUCGCAGAUGCUGCACAGGAACCAUUCUCAGAUGGCAUAUAAGUCAAUUUUUGAUAGCAUAUGGCUUGAAGAGAGCAAUCAGUGUUCUCUUUAUUGACAGCCACUCUUUUUAUUGUAAGUAUGGUGAAGGUAGUGAAAAACUUUUUUUCAAGAAGAAAAGCUGAUCAAGAGUUCCAUCCUAGAGAUGAAUAAAAUACAUCUGGGGCAAUGUGUUUGUCUUCUUAUUACCAAAGAGCAUGGCCAAGUCUGAGAUGUAUCCUUAUGACACGAGCUAGAUCCAUUCUAGUUGAAGUGCCAGUACCAGUACUCCAAUUUAAGUGCAGUCACCACCAACAAAACCCCCCUAAGAUGAGUCUGCGAUUUUAAGGAUCUCAUCAUAUGGAAAUUUCCCCCCGUUCCUACACACUUCAAGUACAGAUUUCCACAGAGCCCAUCGAAUGGCACAAGACUGCUUCUGGUAGUUGCUCAUGGGACGUCAUCUCCGCAGCGUGUAGAAACAGGAGGAUUGGACCUCAUCACACUAGAGCUUGGAUCCACCUUAAAUUCACUUAAGGGAGGGGGCUUUAAACAGCUCAGCCAAACAGGUCCUGGGCCUCACCUAAACUACAAAUCCCAGAAUUCUGCAGGAGGCAGAAUCAGAAAAAAACAAUACAUAUCUGAUCAAAACAUAUUUAUGUAACAUUUCUAAUAAUGAUUAGCUUUCCUAUAAUGGAGGCCAUGAAGGGAUCUAAUCCUCCAAAACAUCUAUCUCUACCUCUGUCACCAUAACUGACAUUGCUGUUUCGUCCUUAGAUGCAGGCGACUUGCAGCUGCCCAUGUCUAGUUGAGAGCUUCUGAAGCAGCUGAUGAGAGGGAGCAUUUUUUUCCAAAUGAGCCAGGGACCGACACCAAAACUGUGGUUACUGAAUACAAAUACUGUAUUUCUUCCAUUCCAAGACUCAUUUUUUCCCUAGAGUUUCAUUGGGUUCCAUCUUUAAAGAAGAUGGAGAAUUUACUCACCCCAUCACACAGGAUCGCCACCUUAUCCAUUUCAAGGAUACCAACACACUUUUUAAAACAGGUAUCCUUUUUGAAAACCACUUUCCAUGGGUUUGUUCCCCUGAAACUCCUACCAUUUUUUUCUACGGACAGGGAGAAGAGUGGAGCCGAUUUCUGCCAAUCUUUCUAUUUCAUCACACCAGAGCAUGGAUCCACUUUAAAUCUGGUUUCUUCACACAGCAGUUAAUUGAGGUUAUGCCAGUACUUGAUAAUGUGUGAACCUGUGGAGUCUUGCUUGUACAUCUCCUGAUUGGUUGCAAAGCCAAGCAAAUCCUAGUAUCAGAUAUGAAAUUCAGAAGCUACCACACUCUACAAAUCUUUUUCCUCUUAAGAGUGUGAAAAGUAUACACCAAGUCCAUCUCGGGUUUGUCUAGAAAUUGUGUUAGACUGUUCACACUUGUUCAUCUCAACAAUUUCAUAACACUGAUUCAGGAAAACAAUAGUUUCUUUUUGAUUUGAUGGAAAUAAAAAUAGAGCUGGAUGAUGUCAGGCUAAUGAAUAAUCCCAUCAAAUAGUACUAUAUAAACAGCAGUCUAAAAAUAAGGAAUUCCCCAUUUAGGCCAUCAGUGAUGUAGUUACAGUUGUUCAGUAACAUUUUUUGGGAUGGGGCUAGGAACAAUCACUAUUAAGCAAUGCCAC